UACGGAGGAUGCAAGCGUCAUCCGGAAUGAUUGGGCGUAAAGCGUCCGCAGGUGGCUAUGUAAGUCUGCUGUUAAAGAGUGAGGCUCAACCUCAUAAGAGCAGUGGAAACUACAUGGCUAGAGUGCGUUCGGGGCAGAGGGAAUUCCUGGUGUAGCGGUGAAAUGCGUAGAUAUCAGGAAGAACACCGGUGGCGAAAGCGCUCUGCUAGGCCGCAACUGACACUGAGGGACGAAAGCUAGGGGAGCGAAUGGG
rnacentral:rRNA from 1 species